rnacentral:rRNA from 1 species
GAUGAACGCUAGCUACAGGCUUAACACAUGCAAGUCGAGGGGCAGCAUUUUAGUUUGCUUGCAAACUGAAGAUGGCGACCGGCGCACGGGUGAGUAACACGUAUCCAACCUGCCGAUAACUCCGGAAUAGCCUUUCGAAAGAAAGAUUAAUACCGGAUAGCAUACGAAUAUCGCAUGAUAUUUUUAUUAAAGAAUUUCGGUUAUCGAUGGGGAUGCGUUCCAUUAGUUUGUUGGCGGGGUAACGGCCCACCAAGACUACGACGGAUAGGGGUUCUGAGAGGAAGGCCCCCCACAUUGGAACUGAGACACGGUCCAAACUCCUACGGGAGGCAGCAGUGAGGAAUAUUGGUCAAUGGACGAGAGUCUGAACCAGCCAAGUAGCGUGAAGGAUGACUGCCCUAUGGGUUGUAAACUUCUUUUAUACGGGAAUAAAGUGAGGCACGUGUGCCUUUUUGUAUGUACCGUAUGAAUAAGGAUCGGCUAACUCCGUGCCAGCAGCCGCGGUAAUACGGAGGAUCCGAGCGUUAUCCGGAUUUAUUGGGUUUAAAGGGAGCGUAGGCGGACGCUUAAGUCAGUUGUGAAAGUUUGCGGCUCAACCGUAAAAUUGCAGUUGAUACUGGGUGUCUUGAGUACAGUAGAGGCAGGCGGAAUUCGUGGUGUAGCGGUGAAAUGCUUAGAUAUCACGAAGAACUCCGAUUGCGAAGGCAGCCUGCUGGACUGUAACUGACGCUGAUGCUCGAAAGUGUGGGUAUCAAACAGGAUUAGAUACCCUGGUAGUCCACACAGUAAACGAUGAAUACUCGCUGUUUGCGAUAUACAGUAAGCGGCCAAGCGAAAGCGUUAAGUAUUCCACCUGGGGAGUACGCCGGCAACGGUGAAACUCAAAGGAAUUGACGGGGGCCCGCACAAGCGGAGGAACAUGUGGUUUAAUUCGAUGAUACGCGAGGAACCUUACCCGGGCUUGAAUUGCAACUGAAUGAUGUGGAGACAUGUCAGCCGCAAGGCAGUUGUGAAGGUGCUGCAUGGUUGUCGUCAGCUCGUGCCGUGAGGUGUCGGCUUAAGUGCCAUAACGAGCGCAACCCUUAUCGAUAGUUACCAUCAGGUUAUGCUGGGGACUCUGUCGAGACUGCCGCCGUAAGAUGUGAGGAAGGUGGGGAUGACGUCAAAUCAGCACGGCCCUUACGUCCGGGGCUACACACGUGUUACAAUGGGGGGUACAGAAGGCAGCUACACGGCGACGUGAUGCUAAUCCCGAAAGCCUCUCUCAGUUCGGAUUGGAGUCUGCAACCCGACUCCAUGAAGCUGGAUUCGCUAGUAAUCGCGCAUCAGCCACGGCGCGGUGAAUACGUUCCCGGGCCUUGUACACACCGCCCGUCAAGCCAUGAAAGCCGGGGGUACCUGAAGUGCGUAACCGCAAGGAGCGCCCUAGGGUAAAACUGGUGAUUGGGGCU